rnacentral:piRNA from 1 species
UGAGAUGGUAACGGGUGCGUGAUCGGUC